AGACAGGUUUCUCUGACACUAACUUGUGACUUGAAUGGAUGAAAUACAAUGCUACUAAACAUAACAAGUCUAACUGCUAUGUCUGCAGAGGAGCGAGGCCUCACCCAGGUACAGUAUCCCUGAACCUUCCUCCGGAUAUGAAGUAUGCGUUUUAAGUCUCUACACUGUAUUUAAACCUAAGCGGUCAGCAUGCGAGUCAUGGAAACUUAAUACCCAAUCAUUACUAAAAAUAUUAUGCCCAGACGAAGGCAUUACUAUAUAUCCCGGGAACUAUACUUGUUAUGGGAUAUAUGGUGGGAUAGGGCGGUUACAAGCUACCUCUGAGAUGACCUUCCAGAAUAGAAUAAGCUUAAAAAUGAUUUUGGCAGAAAAAGGGAGAGUAUGUAAAAUACUCCCAGACACCAUAACAUGCUGUACCUAUAUUCCAGAUAAUACAGGCCCUAAUGGUAAGGUAACGUUGGCAAUAGAAAAGUUAAAGAGUUUGUCCAAUGAACUGAAACGAAAUUCUGGGGCCAGAGAUCCAUGGGAAAGAUGGUUUGGAUGGAUGACUGGAUGGCAAGGUGCUCUGACCCAAAUAGGUGUUGCCAUUUUAAUAACGAUAAUCAUCCUCGCUCUUCUUGUUUGUUGUGUGUUACCCUGUCUUAAGAAAUGCCUACAAAAGACAGUUGAUCAGACAAUCGACCAGACCACCCCAAC